rnacentral:rRNA from 1 species
AGAGUUUGAUCCUGGCUCAGGAUGAACGCUAGCUACAGGCUUAACACAUGCAAGUCGAGGGGCAGCAUCAUCAAAGCUUGCUUUGAUGGAUGGCGACCGGCGCACGGGUGAGUAACACGUAUCCAACCUGCCGACAACACUGGGAUAGCCUUUCGAAAGAAAGAUUAAUACCGGAUGGCAUAAUUAUUCCGCAUGGGAUAAUUAUUAAAGAAUUUCGGUUGUCGAUGGGGAUGCGUUACCAUU